GUGUCAGCAGCCGCGGUAAGACGUAGGGGGCUAGCGUUGUCCGGAAUCACUGGGCGUAAAGAGCUCGUAGGCGGUCUGCUAAGUCGGGUGUGAAAGCCCUCGGCUCAACCGAGGAAUUGCACUCGAUACUGGCAGGCUAGAGUCAAGCAGAGGGAAGUGGAAUUCCCGGUGUAGCGGUGAAAUGCGCAGAUAUCGGGAAGAACACCGGUGGCGAAGGCGGCUUCCUGGGCUUGUACUGACGCUGAGGAGCGAAAGCUAGGGGAGCGAACAGGAUUAGAAACCCCGGUAGUCC
rnacentral:rRNA from 1 species